UAACGUCGCCUUGGGUGCUGCUUUGGCCUUAAGCUUCAUUCUGUUAGUCUUUCUCCUAUACAACCUCAAGACAAAACAAUGUUUUUGCUGCAUGGCUGGUCCACAAACACGGGGCAAAACAUCCAAUUUUGUGCAGGAGAGAGAGGGGGAUUCUUUGGUUUAUUCGGCGCCCACUAUCGUCGCCAGGAAAAGCGGCAAAUUGAAACACACAGAGGAAGAAUUCAGCACAUACACUGACGUCAGACUUCGGGAUUCCUAACAUGAUGAAAUUUAUAUGAAUGCUUCUUUCAAUUAUUAUUAUAAGUAGUAGUAGUUUUAUUUUUUAUUUUAUUUUUUUAUUCUAUCCGUGAUUA